rnacentral:lncRNA from 1 species
UCAAUCUUUUUAAAGAGAAAGUCCUCUCCUUCUCUCUCGUCUUCAGCGACCACCUCCUCAUCCUUGUUGUCGCCUUCAACCACUCCCGCAUGCUCUAUGUCUCCACCAGUGUCAAUCCAUGGUGGGCCCUCACUCCGCCACCACCAUGGGCUUCUGCUGCCACAGUCGCGUGUCCCAGAUCUCCGGUGCCUGAUUUCCACACACGCCUUCCCCUGCCAAGACAACCACCGAAGGAGACACAAUUUGAAUACGAUGUUGGCAGAUAGGCACUUGUGCCAUUGUAGUGGAACAAUUUCUCAUUAGAGGGGGAAGUUUUUUUUUUUUUGUCAACUGCAUAAUUAUGCAGAGGUGGUUAAUUUACUGGCCUUUUUUGUAUAUGGUUAUACUCAUGGGUGAUAACUUGGGAACAGGGAAGCACACAUGUGAUUUACUUGUCCCCAUCCCCUUUCUUUAUUUGCACAUGAUUUUCCAGCACAUGAAAUGGAAGCCACAAUCCAAAAAUGGCCAUCCCCUGUUAAACCAUUUCAUUUGGAAUUCACUUAAUGAUUAUUAACAAAAUAAAUUAGAAGAUAAAUUUCAAAAAUAGAUCAAGAUAGACAAUGAAGAAUGUGAAUAAAAACAUAUCAAGUUCAAUAUAAUACAAAUUCUUCCAAACUUAAAAGAUUAAAAACAAAAGUCACUUGCUCAACGUAAAUUUCGUCAAUGAAAUUACAAGAACAAAUGAAACGUUACAGUAAUCUCUUGGUGUGUUGCACAUUGGCUUGAUGUCACUGAAGGGGUAAGAACCAGAUCUGUAUUCAUGGCACGACGCGGCAGAACUCCAACAACAACGCAAUAGUGACCACUCAUCCUUGAACCCCUUCAGCGCCCUUCGCAACAGUAGACAAAAGUCAUGGCAGAUUUGAAUUUGUGUGUUGCAACAUGGUAAAUCUUCGACAAGGCUGUGACGGUGACCGAUCUCCUUUCAACCCUAUCAUUGUCCUCCACUGUGACAGACUAAAGUUGCCCCAGAUCUAGAUUGGUGCAUUUCCCAACAUGUUGUUAUUGUUGUUGUGCUGGCGGAAGUGGUUCGGCAUCAGCAUCAGCGGUGAGGACCAAAUUAUUGUUGUUUA